rnacentral:rRNA from 1 species
AAUCACCCUCUCGUCGGGUAGGUCACAUGGUUGGUGGGCGUGCCUCAAAACCGCCACGGCGUGUGACCUCACGAUGACGGGGAGCACUUUCGUGUCCGCUGGUUAACAUCAAUUUCGAACGUCAUAAAAAGGCUGGAGGGAUGUGGCUCCUUCGGGAGUGUUAUAACCUUUAGCGGAAUGUGGUGUUCGGGAUUGAGGAUUGCAACGAAUACCUUUAGGGCUGUUCCACCUGGCUUCUCUUUGGUAUCCUGGUGACGACAGCUUGCUGACUUUGUUAGGAUUCGCCUUUGAACAGGCUAGAGUGUGAGCAAAUUCGUUAAGGAUGUUAACGUA